rnacentral:rRNA from 1 species
CAGCAGCCGCGGUAAUACCGGCGGCCCGAGUGGCGGCCACUAUUAUUGGGCUUAAAGCGUCCGUAGCCGGGUUGGUUAGUCUCCCGGGAAAUCUGGCCGCUUAACGGUCAGAAUUCCGGGAGAUACUGCCAGCCUAGGGACCGGGAGAGGCCGAGGGUAUUCCCGGAGUAGGGGUGAAAUCCUAUAAUCCCGGGAGGACCACCUGUGGCGGAGGCGCUCGGCUGGAACGGGUCCGACGGUGAGGGACGAAGGCCAGGGGAGCAAACCGGAUUAGAUACCCGGGUAGUCCUGGCUGUAAACGAUGCGGACUUUGUGUCGGACAAGCUAUGAGCUUGUCCGGUGCCGGAGGGAAACCGUUAAGUCCGCCGCCUGGGGAGUACGGCCGCAAGGCUGAAACUUAAAGGAAUUGGCGGG